AAUGAACGCUGGCGGCGUGUCUUAAGCAUGCAAGUCGUGCGGCAAGGGUAGCAAUACCCCUAGAGCGGCGGACUGGUGAGUAACGCGUGGGUGAUCUGCCUCUGGGAUGGGGAUAGCCACUAGAAAUAGUGGGUAAUACCGAAUACGUUCGUCGGGCUGUGGCCUGACGAGGAAAGGCGCUUCGGCGCCACCCGGAGAUGAGCCCGCGUCCCAUUAGCUAGUUGGUGAGGUAACGGCCCACCAAGGCGACGAUAGGUAGCCGGCCUGAGAGGGUGAACGGCCACACUGGAACUGAGACACGGUCCAGACUCCUACGGGAGGCAGCAGUGGGGGAUAUUGCACAAUGGAGGAAACUCUGAUGCAGCGACGCCGCGUGAGUGAAGAAGGCCUUCGGGUCGUAAAGCUCUGUCCUAGGGGAAGAUAAUGACGGUACCCUAGGAGGAAGCCCCGGCUAACUACGUG
rnacentral:rRNA from 1 species